GGAGUUGACUGGAUAGUCGCUGCUUCGUUGAUGUCCUUUAUUGCUUUUAUUUCGGUAAAUAGUGGUGGGGAGACUGACGGGGGGGAGGAAAGUCCGGGCUUCAUAGAGCAGGGUGCCAGGUAACGCCUGGGAAGCGCAAGCUUACGACAAGUGCAGCAGAGAGAAAACCGCCGAUGACGCUAUUCUUUAUUUCUUCGGAAGUGGGAAGCGAACAGGUAAGGGUGAAAGGGUGCGGUAAGAGCGCACCGUGCGUCUGGUAACAGUGCGUAGCAGGGUAAACUCCACCCGAAGCAAGACCAAAUAGGCCCUCACAUUGCGUUGCUCGCGUAAGGGGGCGGGUAGGUUGCUUGAGCCUGUGAGUGAUUGCAGGCCUAGACGAAUGGCUAUCACCGCGCAAGCGGAUACAGAACCCGGCUUAUGAUGUCAGCUCCACCA
rfam:Vibrio rumoiensis 1S-45 1S-45_contig_4, whole genome shotgun sequence.